AUGUGGGAGUCGGAGAGCGACGCCGGCGAGCGGGGGCUCGUCCCCGUCCACGGAGUCGGCGGCUCUGACCGGCACGACGGGCUCAAGAGCGACGGCUUCGUUCGCAGAGAUCAUUCUUGGUAUGUCAACAGCGAUAUCCCCAGCGAUUUGCUUGUCAAAGUGGGCGAUGUGAGCUUCCAUCUUCACAAGUACCCCAUGAUCUCCCGGAGCGGCAAGAUGGGCCGCGUCAUCUACGAGUCGACCACUGGCGCGGCCUCGGCGGCGGCGUUGGACCCGGACACGGCCGUGGCGGAGCUGGACGACCUCCCCGGCGGCGCGGACUCCUUCGAGCUGGCCGCCAGGUUCUGCUACGGCAUGGCGGUGGACCUGACGGCGUCCAACAUCUCCGGGCUGCGCUGCGCCGCCGAGUACCUGGAGAUGACGGAGGACCUGGAGGAGGGCAACCUCAUCUUCAAGACGGAGGCGUUCCUCAGCUACGUGGUGCUCUCCUCCUGGCGCGACUCCAUCGUCGUCCUCAAGAGCUGCGAGGGCCUCUCGCCCUGGGCCGAGAACCUGCAGAUCGUGCGCCGCUGCAGCGAGUCCAUCGCCUGGAAGGCCUGCGCCAACCCCAGGGGCGUCCGCUGGGCCUACACCGGCGCCGGCAGCGGCAGGCCGCCCCGGAGCGGCGCCGCGAGCCCCCGCUGGAACAACGCCGGUGGCGGCGGCGGCGGCUCCAAGGAGUCCAGCCCCGGUCGCGGGCAGCCCGUGCCGCCCGCCGACUGGUGGUUCGAGGACGUGUCCGUUCUCCGGAUCGACCACUUCGUGCGCGUCGUCACCGCCAUCAAGGUCAAAGGCAUGCGGUUCGACCUCAUCGGCGCGGCGAUCACCCACUACGCGUCGAAAUGGCUGCCGGGGCUCACCAAGGACGCCGUCCCCCACGCCGGCGGUGGCGUCGACGAGCAGUGGGCGCAGGUCUCCGCGGCCGGCGGGCUCCACAUGAUCAUCGCCGGCCCGGGCGGCAAGGACGACGUGGCCACCAGCGCGCCGGCGCGCGAGCAGCGCAUGGUGGUGGAGAGCCUCAUCAGCAUCAUCCCGCCGCAGCGGGAUAGCGUCUCCUGCGGCUUCCUCCUCCGCCUGCUCCGCCUCGCCAUCAUGCUCAAGGCCGCCCCGGCCCUCGUCACGGAGCUGGAGAAGCGGGUGGGCAUGCAGCUCGAGCAGGCGGCGCUGCCCGACCUCCUCAUCCCCUCCGUCGGCCGCGCCGACACCGCCUACGACGUCGACCUCGUGCAGCGGCUCGUCGAGCACUUCCUGGUGCAGGAGCAGACGGAGCAGGUGUCGUCGUACAGCCCGGGGCGCGGGGAGGCGCACGCGCAGCCGGAGAGGGAGUACUACGGCUCCGCCGCGGGCGCGAGGAUGCCCCCGGCCAACGCAGCGGCGGCGGCGGCGGCGUCGUCGUCGUCGGGGCUGGGGCUGAACGCCAAGGCGCGCGUGGCCCGGCUGCUGGACAGCUACCUCUCCGAGGUGUCCCGCGACCGCAACCUCUCCCUGACCAAGUUCCAGGUGCUGGCCGAGUCGCUCCCGGAGUCGGCGCGCGCCUGCGACGACGGGCUGUACCGCGCCGUGGACUCGUACCUGAAGGCGCACCCGGCGCUGACGGAGCACGAGCGGAAGCGGCUGUGCCGGGUGAUGGACUGCCAGAAGCUGUCGUUCGACGCGUGCAUGCACGCGGCGCAGAACGAGCGGCUGCCGCUGCGGGUGGUGGUGCAGGUGCUCUUCUCGGAGCAGGUGAAGAUCAGCAACGCGCUGGCGGGGUCGUCGGCGCUCAAGGCGGCGCCGGACGGGGGGGCGCCGACGCGGCGGCAGCUGCUGGACGCCACGCCGCAGUCGUUCCAGGAGGGCUGGGCGGCGGCCAAGAAGGACAUCAACACGCUCAAGUUCGAGCUGGAGAGCAUGAAGGCCAAGUACCUGGAGCUGCAGCACGACAUGGACGCGCUGCAGAAGCAGGUGACGCAGUCGCCGGCGGGCGAGCACGGCGGCAAGGCCGGCGGCAAGGCGCAGCAGCAGCAGGGGCCCUCGGCGUGGAGCAACGGGUGGAAGAAGCUGGGGAGGCUGGCCAAGAUGACGGGCGCCGAGGCGGCGGGGCCCGGCGGCGGGCACGGGCACGCGGGGGCGGGGGCGCAGGGCGAGGCGGCCAGGAAGGCGCAGAGGAGGUGGAGGAACUCCAUCUCGUGA
rnacentral:rRNA from 1 species